CUCAUCAUCAAUGUUAUUUCUCUUCUCGCAAUUUAAUUUCUCUUCUCCCAAUCCCUUAUCAUCUCAUCAUCAAUGUUAUUUCAUUUCCCAAUUCAUAUACUACAAUUUAAUCGUCACUCCUAUUUUCCAGGUUGCAGCUCAGAACUUUGUUAUGAAACGACUCUGGGGUUAUGUAAUUAAGAGUAGAUGCUGGGUUUGAAAAGGUGCAAAUGGAGACUAAACGUCUAAACCUCAAACUUCUUGGAAAGAAAAACCAUAUGUUCUGGACUGACCAAACAACGAAGAACUUGGUCCAAUUUUAUGUUUGACCAUUAAAUUAAGUUAAA